rnacentral:misc_RNA from 1 species
UUUACUUGUUUUCUGGGACUCUGAGAUGCCACGCUGCAGAGACAAGAGUAGGGGGCCGCCGGCGGGCGUAGCGCCCGGCGCAGGGCCGGGCGCCCGCCGAGGCAACGUUUCGGUAGGUUCACAGGGGUUGUGGGAUCUUGCGAUUCCAGUAAUGAUCCCUCCGCUGGUUCACCAACGGAGA